UACGGGGGGAGCAAGCGUUGUUCGGAUUUACUGGGCGUAAAGGGCGCGUAGGCGGCGUGACAAGUCACUUGUGAAAUCUCCGGGCUUAACUCGGAACGGUCAAGUGAUACUGUCGGACUAGAGUACAGAAGGGGCAACUGGAAUUCUCGGUGUAGCGGUGAAAUGCGUAGAUAUCGAGAGGAACACCGAAGGCGAAGGCAGUCUCCUGGCAAGUUACUGACGCUCAGGUGCGAAAGCUAGGGGAGCGAACAGG
rnacentral:rRNA from 1 species